CCUGAGGCAGUGAUGUCACAAAGCAAGAGAUGUGCAGGCAGGCUCUCGUUCCGUCUUGAACCCACUGAUGUUUUAUUCAGCCCGCGAUGCUGUCAUGCAGAGCAGGGGCAGAGACUUCAAACACGGGUGUGCGGAGUGUGGCAGGCAGGGGGUAGAGGGCAGGGGGCGCUUGUGCAACAGGCGCACAGCUGGGGCUGCCGUGCUGGGCCGAGAGCGUGUCCUGGCAGGGAGCCCCCUCCAGGAGGCAGGGUAGAAAUGCAUGGAGUGUGCAGUAAGGUGGCAGAACCAGCCCACUGGGCCAUUUCAGGAUCAGCAGUGAAACACCAACACCAAGCAUCCUGGGGGGGAUCCAGGCCAGUCUGUUUACUUCAUCGCUGUGUUUGAACUGGGAGUGAAACGAGGGGAUCUUCAGGUCUGGUCCCAGCAGGUUUUGUGGGUCACUAUUAAAUCACAAAUUUGGAAAGAUGUGGCACAGUUCCAUUUUGAUUAAAUAGACGAGAUUUCUUGAAUUAAGUAAUUUAGGGAUCGUUU
rnacentral:lncRNA from 1 species